CUUUAUUCAGUUGAAGCUGCUGGGGGCUCCUGCAGCCUCGGGGAGUGUGGUGCCACUGGCACUGGAGGCAACAGAAGGCGAAGCUGUUUGGAUAGAGAAGCCAGCUGGUAGCGCAGAACCCAGAACAUCUGGUGAUCUUCAGAUGACAUCACAAGGUGCAGGGAGGCCUGGCUGAAGUUGCAAUGGGACCACUUCUGAGGACCUGAAUCUUCAAUGAUGAGCAACAGAUGAUGCUCAGCUCCCCCACAAAGAGAGAUUAUCCUCCACAGCUGGCUUGGAACUCGCUAUGUAGACCACGGUGACCUCGAACUCACACUGCCUCCUCCAGUGCUAGGAUUAAUUGCAUGUGCCACCAUGCCAGGUCAGCCCCUACUUGAGUUUAAACUUCAUGUCAGAGUCCUGACAG
rnacentral:lncRNA from 1 species